rnacentral:rRNA from 1 species
UACGUAGGCAGCGAGCGUUGUUCGGAAUUACUGGGUGUAAAGAGUGUGUAGGCGGUGCUCUAAGUUCGGUGUGAAAUCUCCUGGCUCAACUGGGAGGGUGCGCCGGAAACUGGAGUGCUUGAGCGUGGGAGAGGAAAGCGGAAUUCCUGGUGUAGCGGUGAAAUGCGUAGAUAUCAGGAGGAACACCUGUGGUGUAGACGGCUUUCUGGACCAUAGCUGACGCUGAGACACGAAAGCGUGGGUAGCAAACAGG